rfam:Brassica napus, WGS project CCCW01000000 data, contig: 4337
GAAAGUGAUGAUAAGGAAUUGUCGCCCCAGUCUUACUUAAAACAUGGUGAUUGACUACUUCUGUCUGAUUC